UGCCAGCCGCCGCGGUAAUACGGAGGGGGCAAGCGUUGCUCGGAAUUACUGGGCGUAAAGCGAGCGUAGGCGGUUUGUCAAGUUGGUGGUGAGAGCCCGGAGCUUAACUCCGGAACUGCCAUCAAAACUGAUUUACUAGAGAUUGGUAGAGGAAAAUGGAAUUCCUAGUGUAGAGGUGAAAUUCGUAGAUAUUGGGAAGAACACCAGUGGCGAAGGCGAUUUUCUGGGCCAAUUCUGACGCUGAGGUUCGAAAGCGUGGGUAGCAAACAGGAUUAGAUA
rnacentral:rRNA from 1 species